rnacentral:rRNA from 1 species
GUGGGGAAUAUUGGACAAUGGGCGAAAGCCUGAUCCAGCCAUGCCGCGUGUGUGAAGAAGGUCUUCGGAUUGUAAAGCACUUUAAGUUGGGAGGAAGGGCAGUAAGUUAAUACCUUGCUGUUUUGACGUUACCGACAGAAUAAGCACCGGCUAACUUCGUGCCAGCAGCCGCGGUAAUACGAAGGGUGCAAGCGUUAAUCGGAAUUACUGGGCGUAAAGCGCGCGUAGGUGGUUUUGUAAGUUGGAGGUGAAAUCCCCGGGCUCAACCUGGGAACUGCCUCCAAAACUGCAUGACUAGAGUACGGUAGAGGGUAGUGGAAUUUCCUGUGUAGCGGUGAAAUGCGUAGAUAUAGGAAGGAACACCAGUGGCGAAGGCGACUACCUGGACUGAUACUGACACUGAGGUGCGAAAGCGUGGGGAUCAAACAGGAUUAGAUACCCGUGUAGUCC